AGGGGAAUAUUGGACAAUGGGCGCAAGCCUGAUCCAGCCAUGCCGCGUGAGAGAUGAAGGCCCUAGGGGUGUAAAGCUCUUUCACCGGUGAAGAUAAUGACGGUAACCGGAGAAGAAGCCCCGGCUAACUACGUGCCAGCAGCCGCGGUAAUACGAAGGGGGCUAGCGUUGUUCGGAUUUACUGGGCGUAAAGCGCACGUAGGCGGACUAUUAAGUCAGGGGUGAAAUCCCGGGGCUCAACCCCGGAACUGCCUUUGAUACUGGUAGUCUUGAGUUCGAGAGAGGUGAGUGGAAUUCCGAGUGUAGAGGUGAUAUUCGUAGAUAUUCGGAGGAACACCAGUGGCGAAGGCGGCUCACUGGCUCGAUACUGACGCUGAGGUGCGUAAGCGUGGGGAGCAAACAGG
rnacentral:rRNA from 1 species